AACGAACGCUGGCGGCAGGCUUAACACAUGCAAGUCGAACGCCCGUAGCAGUACGGGAGUGGCGGACGGGUGAGUAACGCGUGGGAACGUGCCCUGAGGUACGGAAUAACUGCGGGAAACUGCAGCUAAUACCGUAUGAGCCCCGCAAGGGGGAAAGAUUUAUCGCCUUAGGAGCGGCCCGCGUCGGAUUAGCUAGUUGGUGGGGCAACGGCUUACCAAGGCUUCGAUCCGUAGCUGGUCUGAGAGGACGAUCAGCCACACUGGGACUGAGACACGGCCCAGACUCCUACGGGAGGCAGCAGUGGGGAAUCUUGCGCAAUGGGGGCAACCCUGACGCAGCCAUGCCGCGUGAAUGAUGAAGGCCUUAGGGUUGUAAAGUUCUUUUGCCCGUGACGAUGAUGACGGUAACGGGAGAAUAAGCUCCGGCUAACUUCGUGCCAGCCGCCGCGGUAAAAC
rnacentral:rRNA from 1 species